CCAGUGCCAGUGCCACUGCAACUGCAACUGGAACGGAGUAGAUGGCCAGGUUUUGCUUCAGUUUUGGCGUAAUUUAUCAGAGCCUGAAAUGCAAUCGCGCUGUGCAGGUGAAAAAUGGACAGACAGGGAGACAGCGACAGAGUCGCGGACAACACACAACACCACUUGGCCACUUGUUAUCCUCAUCCAAGUAUCCCCAGUAUCCCAGUAAGCAACUCCACAGUGCACUCCACAGCGCACUCCACACUGCACACGGCAGCAAAUCAAAUAGCAAACUUAUACAGAUGUCAAUUAUUUUUGCCUGAAGCUGGAGCUGGAGCUGGUGCUGGUGCUGUAGCUGGUCCGCUCUUCUAUUUCGAUUUAGUUGCUGGCUUGCAAUUUUGGCUCGUUUCAGUGCAGUUCAGUUCUGUUCGGUACGGUUCGGUUCGGUUUGGAUUGGAUUGGAUGCGAUUGGAGAGACGAAAUUGCUGGCUGAACUCGUUAGCUGCAAGUUGGCAACAACAAUCCAUCCGUUGCAGGGGCAACGUGGCAUCGUUCUGCACUGCACUGGCAAGUCAUCCAAUUGCUAGGCUAGGAAAUUGUUAUUAUUUCUACCUUUUGCCAUGGAGAUUGCCUACCUGCCCCCCUCCCCAACCCUGUACGCGGACUCUGCUGGAUUGGACAUGGUACAUCGACAGAUCUCUCGCUUCUUGUUCAUUGCUCGCAAAUUAUAAUUGAAUGAUUGCACGGGCUGCUGGUGCUGGUGCUGCUGCUGCUGCUGCUGCCAAGCGAUUUGCUCGUCAUUUUCCCCACUCAUUCAGCCUCGUUAUGCCGAACGGAGGGAUGGCUCAGAUCAGAUCAGCGCAGAUCAAUUGAUAUUGAUUGGGUCUCUGUUUAAAGGAAAAAGGUGUCAAAACUAUUGCCUCCUAAAUGGGGCUGCCCCUCAAGGCAUACCAAACCAUUCCAUUCCAUGCCAUGCCAUACCAUGCCAUACCAUUCCAUACCAGCGAAAUGUACAACAUUUCCACCAUUGCAGAGAGUGUCUGUCAAGUUCAUUAAAUUGUAUCUGGGGUCUGGGGGCCCAUUUGACUUAUUACAGACUAAGGCUCUGCUCAGCCGAUGAAUGCCUGAUGAAUUGAAUGUAAUGUAAUGGCCAUGCCAUGCAAUGCCAUGCCAGGCCAUGCCAUGGGGAUCAACGUUUGACAACAAAUUUAUUUAAAAGACAACUUGCAACAAAUAAAUUUCGCUAGAGCAAGGCCCAGACGUUGAGAGAGUGGAAUGCAGACCACGGACAAGAGCCUGUGUAGGAGUCGAGAGUCGCAGUCAGUGUCCCGUCAUUGUCCUCCUGGCUUGAUGUCCAAUAAUGCGAUGGCUUGUUGAAAUUCAUUCAUCAAUGUAAUCGAUCAGACAUGGGGCCAGAGCAUUGACAUGCCACGUAACAUGCUCUCCUCUCGUAUGUAAAUGGAGCCAGAAAUCCGUAGCAGAUCCAGACAGAGACUGAGGCACAGGCACAGACACAGACACACACAAUGCAACAUAAAAUUUAAUCAAUUUAUUGGAAACGAGGUAUUGUCUUUGGGCUCUCUUGCCUUGACUCCGACUCGGACUCGGACUUAACUCAAUACUCGGGUCGACUCGACUCGAAUCAACGUCCGUGGCUUAUCCCCAGCUUAGCAUCUACACUUUCUCUCCUCACGGGUUUGAUAUGGGAGUCAAAAGUAUUUUCUUGGCACGAAUGCGAGCAAAAGGCCAACAUAAAUCCAGGCGAUUCGUGUGGAGUGGCAUGGAGUGGAGGCUGUGGGUGGGUGGGGCUCGGCUCAGCUCUGACAACCUGGACAACCGCACCCACCUUGUUGCCAGAGCAGCUGCCAGAGAGAUGUGGCCAAAGUUUGGCAUUAGAUUAUGGCUUUGCAUUUUCUGGGUGCAAGCCAAGCCAAGGCAGCGAAGGCUUUAGGAUGUGGUCCAAUUUAAAAUAAAUAAUUGAUAUCUCGAUUGAAUCCUCAUUCUUUGGAGAAUACUUUGGAAACAGUGCAGCAUUUGCUUUAGCUUUCAGCUGAGCAAUAAUCUACCCUUAGGCAGCACAAUUCUAGCACAAGUCCCACAGAAGUCCCAAAAGGCAGGCAAAAUGGUGAAGCAAAAGGAGCCAGAGGAAGUUUUCGAGCUGAUUCCCGAAUCUGAAAUGCUCGUACGGCACGGCCAGCAUCUAAGUCGAAUUCAUGAUAUGGCCAUUAGCAGGAAGCUAAUAAACCGUUCCCUCGACGAGUUCGAUCGAAUGGAGAAGGAACGAACUCGAAGUGACCACUGGGAUCAGUACCUGCUCUGCGAUGAACUGCCGCGACCCUUCAACCCAUCGGAAAUACGUACGUUCUUAGCCAAAGAACGGCACUUCGAGGACCUUGAGGCGGACAAGGCUAUAGACUGGACUUUGUCGGUGGACGAGCGCAGUAUCUUGAAUCAGAACAUUUACAGGGUCGACCGAACCCGUCGAACGCUGAAAAAGGUCCAGGCCAUCAAUCCGGCCGAGUACAUCGAGAGGGAUGUCCAGCUGUGCCUCGACACAUUGCGGCGAUUGGAUGGUCUGCUGGACAACGAUUUGGAGCUGCAACGAAUGAGCGUGAGAAGGCUGGCGGAUAUAUUGCUGGUUCGCGGCGACAUCGAGCUGGAGAUCGUCAGCCUCUUCGAUCGUCUUGCCUACAGGAUCUUGGGCAUGCAAGGAGCCCACAUGAAUACUGUGGACAAUAGGGUAGCCACGUGGAGCUACAAAUGUGAGCCGUGGGCCAUGGAUAUUUGGGGUCUGCUGAUAGCACCCAUGCGCUUCAACAAUUUGCCAAUUCCUGCUAUGCUGGCCGAACUGAGCACCACAGGUGUCUCGGUGCAGAUGCCUCUGAGUGUGCUGAGGGACUGCCUCACCCUGCGCUGCAUCCACACCAAAUUUGAUAACUACUCGCCAAAUGCCAAGAGCUACGAGCUCUUGGUUACCGAGUCCCCUACCUACCCCACCGCUGGGAUAGUGGAUAUCGAGGCCUCGGCGGAAAACGAGUGGCGCAUGCAGCUGGAGAUACAAAAGGAGGUCUUGGAGGAGAUGUUAGUGAAGCGGCAGCUGUACGAGGAACUCAUUGAGCUUAUAAACGCAAAGAACGCACAGGCGGCAAGAGAGUCGAAAGGGGCGGACAGGAAGGCCCAGAAGGCAGCUAUACCCAAGUUCCCAAAGGAGCAGCCAAUAGUGCCACCGGGCAUGGUGCCCGAUAUCUACGAGGAGUUCGUCAAAAGGGAGAAGACCCAAUACCAAUCAUUUCUGGAGGAGGUAUACCAUCCCAAUGCACUGAACCUGACAUAUGAUGAGAUAAAUCUUCGCGAAUGCAUUAUGCUCGGCGGAAUAUACUCGAUUAUGUUUGUGGGCCGACCUGCUCAAACGCAAUUCGAGAAGUUCAACAUUAUCCUGCACGAGGACGGCCGGGCCUUACUCGCUAUGCCGGAGGUGGUGGCCGUCCUUGACAAGCCCGAGGAUAGUCUCAGAGCCUCGGCCUUUUCAGCGGCGAGGUCGUCUAACUUCCGCUUGACUCUGGAGGAUAUCGGCAAUAUGAGGUUGGAUCCCGAUGAGCUACCGUACUUUAUCGUCGUCCUGGAACUGGCGCCCGAGCUUUGCCUGUGGGGCGAGCCCAAGGUCUGCCAGUUCUUCACGAGUCUGCAGCCCAUUUAUCCAGGGCCAGAAGUAUCCCUCAACCAUACUGCCACUGAGAAGCACAAGAAGGCGGCUCCAAAGCCGCGACAUAUUCUCGAAGGAAACGAUACCGAGGAAACCCCGAGCGCCAAUAUCUUUCGACCCAGUGUCAGGGCGAGCAUACGGUUUAGUGAAUCGAGGUCUUUUCAGCUUGAGAAAUCUGGCGGCCUGCCCGAUUUCCCGUUGAAUGAUUAUCUCGAUCAUCCGAAAUUACGGAGCAUGGAGCGACACUGUCUACCGCGCCUGCUCUCCUCGUUCAAGUUUCCAAGCGAGUUUCUAGAGGAGCUGAAGGAGGCGUUUGCCACCAAAAAGGCAGCAAGGCAGAAGGGUCUGGUCCGACGACACAGUAUCGAGGAUGAGGAUUUUGCACUGUCAAAACUUGAUUUCGAUUUCGAGUCACAGCACAAUCCGGAGCGGCUCUUUCCCAUAUUUGAUGCGUUGGAGAGUGUCGAGUAUGGCGAGAAAGCCCCUAAGGAUAGCGAGACAAUGCACGGCUUGUUGGGCACCAUUCAAAACAUCAAAGAUCGGUAUCUGCUGCGGCAGCCGGCUGUAGACCCCGAGAUGAGGCCUGUCCGAAAAAAAGAUAUGAUUUCGGAAGAGCCGGCCACACAGGCACAAGCCAAAGCCAAAGGACACAAGCACAAACCUCAGCCAAUGAGGAAUCGAUUGAACCAAAGACGGAGGUCUUGCACUGGACAACGAAGCACAUUGUGGAUACCACAUUCGACAGACUGAACCACACGAUGACCAUUAAGACAGAUCGUUUGGGUAUUUUCGGCUUGGCCUUCAAACGCUACGAGCAUUUUCCCUUCCGCGACUGGUCCCUGCAGCCCAACGAGGAGAAUCCCGAUGAGAUCAUUCUCCAGUUGGACACGUACCAUGUGCGAAUAUAUUUAUACAUUACAUCGAAGGGAGUGCGCGGCUAUGCUACGGAAUUGAGCAACGCUUAUACGGCGAAACCAGUCAAAUAUCUUGAAAUUGUAGAG